UAGGGUUUUAUGAUAUUUUAGGGUUUUAUAGAGACCAAAUAGCAUAAAGAGGUUCAUGUAGAACGUGACAUUCAAGUGACGAUGAAAAUGUUUUCUUAUGCUCCUGGGCUUGGAUUCCACAAAUACCCAUUACUGAUUUUGUUGGAAGAUUAGAUUCUGAUAUGGGUGAUACUGACCGUGAGAAGAAUGUUUAGAAAACAGAAUGAAAUUGUUGUUUUAAUGUUAAAUGCCUCAUUUGCAGUAGUCAAGACUUAAGAUGACUAUUGGUUCGAGCUUUCUUUCUAUGAAUGCACAACCAAAUCCAGAUGGUCAAAUGGAUUGUGGAAAUCUGCUUGACCUUUCUUACUCUUCUCAAGUUUCUGAUGCAGACAGCUGAGCUCUAGAGCUCAGAAAUCUUACUCACGUAAAUAAUUUUUUUGAAAAGAAACAUCUCAGACGGGAAGAAAAGAAGAAAUCAAAUAAUAACCCGCUCGACACUUUUCUUCAUAUUUAUAUAUGUGAACACAAAUCCCAUUUGCUACUAUCCCAUCUUUUUCGAUAUGUAUACAAACAUUUAAUAGCAUUUAACUGUAACUGAUUUUUA